rnacentral:rRNA from 1 species
GGAGUUAGCCGGUGCUUCUUCUGCGAGUAACGUCACAGAUGUAAGGUAUUAACUUACACCCUUUCCUCCUCGCUGAAAGUGCUUUACAACCCGAAGGCCUUCUUCACACACGCGGCAUGGCUGCAUCAGGGUUUCCCCCAUUGUGCAAUAUUCCCCACUGCUGCCUCCCGUAGGAGUCUGGGCCGUGUCUCAGUCCCAGUGUGGCUGAUCAUCCUCUCAGACCAGCUAGGGAUCGUCGCCUAGGUGAGCCUUUACCUCACCUACUAGCUAAUACCACCUGGGCUUAUCCAUCAGCGCAAGGCCCGAAGGUCCCCUGCUUUCCCCCGUAGGGCGUAUGCGGUAUUAGCAGUCGUUUCCAACUGUUAUCCCCCACAAAUGGGCAAAUUCCCAGGCAUUACUCACCCGUCCGCCGCUCGUCAUCUUCAAAAGCAAGCUUUUGAAAUGUUACCGCUCGACUUGCAUGUGUUAGGCCUGCCGCCAGCGUUCAAUCUGAGCCAUGAUCAAACUCUGA